UACGUAGGGGGCAAGCGUUGUCCGGAAUCAUUGGGCGUAAAGCGCGUGUAGGCGGUUCGGUAAGUCGGCUGUGAAAGUCCAGGGCUCAACCCUGGGAUGCCGGUCGAUACUGCCGGACUAGAGUUCGGAAGAGGCGAGUGGAAUUCCCGGUGUAGCGGUGAAAUGCGCAGAUAUCGGGAGGAACACCAAUGGCGAAGGCAGCUCGCUGGGACGUUACUGACGCUGAGGCGCGAAAGCCAGGGG
rnacentral:rRNA from 1 species